rnacentral:rRNA from 1 species
AGGGUUCGAUUCUGGCUCAGAACGAACGCUGGCGGCAUGCCUAAUACAUGCAAGUCGAACGAGACCUUCGGGUCUAGUGGCGCACGGGUGCGUAACGCGUGGGAAUCUGCCCUUGGGUUCGGAAUAACUUCGGGAAACUGAAGCUAAUACCGGAUGAUGACGAAAGUCCAAAGAUUUAUCGCCCAGGGAUGAGCCCGCGUAGGAUUAGCUAGUUGGUGGGGUAAAGGCUCACCAAGGCAACGAUCCUUAGCUGGUCUGAGAGGAUGAUCAGCCACACUGGGACUGAGACACGGCCCAGACUCCUACGGGAGGCAGCAGUAGGGAAUAUUGGACAAUGGGCGAAAGCCUGAUGGGAAGCAAUGCCGCGUGCAGGACGAAGGCCUUCGGGUUGUAAACUGCUUUUAUAAGCGAGGAAUAUGACGGUAACUUAUGAAUAAGGAUCGGCUAACUACGUGCCAGCCGCUGC